GACUAUAUCAUUGAACCGGAUGAAACAUUUAAUACAAAUAAUGGUUCAGCUAUUAAGCUACUAAGACAGUAUCAUUUGGGUGGCUAGUCCAAUUGUGGUUAGACAACCAUUAAUGAGUUCAUAACACCUUCCCCUUGGAUGAUCAUACACUAAGAAUAUGCCUCAUUAAAACCUUGCCAAGAAAUACCCAAUAGGAAAAACCUUUGACGAAGAAAAAAGAGUGCGCUAUUCUUGUGUCUCUCGCAAUAGUGACUUGUGUCUUCAGAUUGCCUCAUUACAAUUUUGCUUAAUAGAAGCUCGUGGGAUAAAUCCUUGGACGAAGGAAAAAGAGUAAUAUCUACAUAUCAACAUUAUGGCACUUGCUCCCCCUCAAGGGCCUCAGCAUUGCAUGACAAGUCCUUGAGUCGAUGCAUUAACUAAUGCGGUUAUUUCCAUCAUCAGUUUGGAGAUCAAAUGUUUUGUCUGGUUUAAUGAUAUAGUCCUCGGCUUCAAGAUAGGUAUCAUCAGAAGGUCAGUCGGCCUGAUCUCUAAAAUUCACUUCAAUGCCCCUUCCCCUAUUAACAGAUCUUUGAUAGAGGUCAAUCAAAUGUUUAGGCAUAGGACAUGUGCGCGACCAUUGAUCUUUCAUCCCACAGUGAUAACAUAUAUCUUCAUAGAGGUCAAUCAAAUGUUUAGGCAUAGGACAUGUACGCGACCAUUGAUCUUUCAUCCCACAGUGAUAACAUAUAUCUUCAUAAUUAUUAGAAGGUUUAUUCUGUACCCCCUUCCCUUUUCCUUGGAUCUGGGUCAUUAUUCCCUCUUUGGUGGGCGCUAUGGCAUAUCUGUGGGAUGGUUUAGGGUGGUUGUUCCAUUUUUGGUGAGAUGAUGGGCAUUCCUGUUGGCUGUUUUCUGUAUAUAUACCCCCCACAGUUUUGGCGAUAUUGAUUUCUCCCACGUCCCCGUGCAUGUCCUCGUUUGGAUCCCUGUCGGCAACCUAAAAGCGAAAUUUGUGAUUUUUUAAGUAACAUGUCAUUGUUUCACUCAGUUCAGAAAACUUGGUAAAAUGCCACUCUCUGUAUUGUUGUCGAAGAAGCAAAUUAGAGGCGUGAAAAGUGGAAAACGUUUUGUUCUAAAAGAUCAUAAUCGGUAAUUGUCUGUCAACACAAUUGAAACAAUUUUAAAAAGAGCAGAAUAAUAUUGUUGGACAGUUUUAAAUCCUGAAGUCUUUUGCAUGAAAGGUGCUUUUGGAAGAAUCAAAGUUUUUUGAUGUUCAAAUCUUCUUUUAAAUCGGUCCACGAAAGUUUUUGGUCUCUCUUGUAAGAUGCUUGGAUUAUUAAUCUUCGUGGAUGUGGUGACGGAUGAAAAUCAUCGCUUAGCUUGUGUCUUCAAAAGAUGUGGUAUUGUUAUCCUCAAUAGUAUGCCCAAGAUUCAUACCAUCAAGAUUGAUUUCAAAAAAAUGUUUUGGCGUUUUUCGUAAACAUUCUAUGUCAUGCAUCCAUGGUAGAUAAUACCGCCCUAGAUAUCUAGGGCGGUAGAUGUGUAGGAAGUAAUUUGUUGUCCUUCGGAAAAAAAUUGGAUCAUGUUCAUGCUUGCUAGUUUUCCACCCAUUCCGAGUUUUGAUGCUAUUAAAUUUCUUUAUUAUUUUGAAUUUUAUUUGCCUAUUAUAUUCUUGUGAGAUUAAUGCAUUUUGCUUGAUUCUUGAUUUUAAUAAUAUGGACUUGCUUGAUUCUUGAUUUUAGUUUGUUUUCCUUUAGGACUAGCAAAAUGUAAGUUGGGGGUAUGAUAAGUGCCGAAAUGUACACAUCUAGGCCGCCUAACUUAUAUAUGUUAUGUCCUUUAUACUUAUUUUAUUUAUUUAGUGUCUUUUGUUAUAUAUUGGUGAUUGUAGGUCGCAAGAGUGUGUAUCAAACUUGGCCUAAAAUUGGAUGUUUUGGAAGAAUUGGGUGCACUAAUUACUUGAUUAACACUUCCUAAUCAUUUUUUACAUUCUUUGCUGACUACUUCCUUACCUUUUACUUCUUUAUUUUCUCCACCUAUCUCUAAUGUCUCCACAUGUUCUCUUGUCCCAAUCUUUAUUUCUUUAUCACAGCUAUGCAUAUGCAUAUUGCUCCUUUGUUUAAAUUGGAGCUUGGCAGAAUGCUUUUAAGCUAUUCACCAAACCAUGGACCCUCAAGAGCCAAUGCAUGUAACAUUAUUUUCACAUUUGUUUCUGCAUAAGGAGGGAGUAGUCAGAAAGAAAAGGGGGAGGGUAACUGCGGCAGCAGGCCAGAGAAGAGAAGGGGAAGGAGCUGUGCUCCACGCAGGAGCAUAAGCUCUGCCUCUGUUUCUCUGUAACAAUGCUCUCUUGUUAUAUUCUUGUCCUGGUCGAGUAACUUAAUUAUUUCAUUUUAUUUUUGGUUACUUUCAUUUUGUUGAAAUGAUUUUCGCAAGUAUUCAAACACUACUUUAUACUAUAAUUUUCACAGAGAGUAUAAUUAGAGGGCUGAGAUAGCUUAUGCUCCGAGAAGACAGAUUGUCCCUAUGGCUGGUUAGUGUUAGUUUAGCAUAGACAAUCCCUGCUAAUCAGAGAUAGGCUAUGCUGGUUAAUGAUUAUAUUUAUCCUCUUGACGAAACUAGUGGGGCUGGUAGCUGCCAUGGAGGAUCAUGGUUGAAUGAAUUGAUUAAGACCUUAAAAUAAUAAGUCAGGAUGGAAUUGAAGUUCCUGGACCUUCUCUAUCUUGUCCUCCACUUUAUUUUAUGUUAUUUCAAUUUAUGCGUUUUGUAUUUAGAAAUCCAUAAACAUUAUUUUUGUUCGAACUAAAGCAAGAGUUGAUUUUGAGAAUUGACACACUUAUUACCCUGUUGAUCGACUCGGACUUCAUCACUAUACUAUGCAAAUCUUUAGUGAUAGUCUGAUUAAUGUAAAUAAGUAGUCUAGUUUGACGGUGGUUUGUUAGUUUGCUGUUUUGAACAUUAUCUUUUUAGUGUAGAUUGUUCGAUUUGCUGGGGGAUUGAGAUUUGUAGUGAAAUUGAGCCUUGGAUAUGCCACUCUUAGAUAUAGUUAAAGGGCUCCGUGCAUGCAUCACUAUGAAUUUCUCAUCAUUCAUGCAUUUAGUCAAUUAUCACUAAAGUUGUAUUUAUUAAUUAAAAAAUCUAAAAAGAAAAAAGAAAAAAAAGAAAUUGAACAGCAUUUUCAAAAAAUGAAAAGAAAAAAAAGACAAAAUAAAGAGUUCAAACAUUGGUAAAAAGAAAAACAAGAAAAGCAGCAUACAAAACAUUCUGUCUUUUCUCUAUUAGUUCUAUGUUUUGUCUCUGUCCUGGUUUCUAACACUUGCAGGCAUCUCUGAUUUCCUGUAGUGUGCACGGACCUCAUCCCCUUGUUUCACUUUGCUUUUGUAACUCCGACCCUGAGGUGAUAUCCUUCCUCCCUCUUUUACUUGUUAUGCCUUUUCUUUUUUGUGUGCCAAUGGCAUUGCCAUGUUUAAGUUGUGGGGACAGAUUUCACCCUUCGGUUGAAAACAAUAAAGAAAAAAAUGAAAAACGAAACAUUGUUGGGUUUAUUCUCCAUUUGAAUUUUGAAUUGAGAAUCGCAAUUGAGCGUAAGUGUAAAUUUUAGUGUUUUAGAUAUUUUGUUGGCAUCUUAGUUCAUUGUACUAGCCUAUUCUAUUUUUUUUACGGCAUCCUUUACUCGGCACUUUGCACUUCCUGACUAGUUGCAUGAUCGUGGUUUUGAUUGAUGAGUGUGGAUAGUCCGGAAAUCUUGAGAAACACUUGUGGAGACUUUUACCCAUAGAGAAUUUCGAUCCAUUCUUUCAUUUGGAGGGUUUCAAGUUCACUUACUUUUACAUGUUCAUUGAUCACACAAUAUUAGUUGGGUAGUCUCAUUGUCAAUUCUUGCUUGGUUAAAUGCCCGAAAAUGCAUUACUUGUGUCACAUUGGUUUUGUCUUGAGAUCUUGGAAACUGGGAGAACCAUGUUCUACUUGGGAAAAGAUUUUAGGCUAUCUUUGUUAUGAAGCCUGUUCGUUUCGAUUCAGAUACACACUUAUCAUCCCUAGUUCGCCAUUUCGAGCCUUUUACAUGUAAGCCAUUCUUUGUUGAGCUCCAAGAUUCAAAUGAUUCGAGAAAUGGGUUUGGUUUAUAAAGAUGAAGCAAAUAAUCAAGAGGGGUUGCCGGUGAGGAGAAUAGCUUCUUCUUUUUUUUUGUUUGCAAAUGAUUAAUGCCCUUGAUGCAUGGGCCUUGAGAUGGGAUUAGUUGGUAUGAGGCAUGUGAUGGUGAAAGAUACAAAGAAAUAAAGAAAAGGCAGGAUGUCAGUAGGCAUUGGAGGACUCAUAGCUCAUGCGUGAGGCGUAUAACAAAUGCUCUCUACACAAGUUCACAAACCAGUUAUAUAGUUGGCCAUUUUAAAGAAAUCAAUUUCCCAUUUGAAAACAUGCAUGGGAUGAGCUUGGGCCAGAAGUCUUUUGGCUGUGGGAGAUAUUGUUGUGGUGCUUAUCUUUGAGAGCAAUUUAUAUUCUCUUUAGAUCAACAGUAGGUUGUGAUUUACAGAUCCGAGGUUCUUGAUCAUCAAUUUGAGGUAUCAGAGGUUCUUGUUAAUUAUUUCAUUACCAGGUUUGGGUCUUCAUUUGGUAAUUUUUUAUGGUUGAGUUGAAUGAAAGCUCUUCCUUUGGUAAUUAUGGGAUUUAUUAGAUGUCAAUGGUUUCUUAAUGAUGUUAUUUGACACAGUUCUGGAUUUGAAGAUGGAUUUCAUACACCUCGUCUUCUUAUGCAAAGAACCAAGGACCGAAGCGCAUCAGACUGCACAUGUAGACAUAUUAGGGUUGCUUCAGCUUUUUCAAUUUGAAUUUUAGUGACUCUUGAUAGCUGCUGGAGCAGUGGUUUAGUUAGUGCAUCUAAAUUUUGCCUGCGAUUGAGGUCCAUUUUAGUUAGUUUCUGUUGUCUUCCCUUUUUUGGCUGCUUUGUUUCCAACUACGCCUAAAUAGAAGGCCAAUGUUGGGGUAGUUAUCUUAUUUCCUUGUUUUCCACUGUGUAGCAGAAGGCCAACGUUGUUGGAGUCCUGUUAUUUUCUUAUUGUCUUUAUUUCGUGUUUAUUUUUCUCCUUUCCACGUUUUUCAAUCACAGAUCAAACUGUCACCUUGUUUCCA